rnacentral:rRNA from 1 species
GCUAUUUAGGUUAGAGUUUGAUCCUGGCUCAGAGCGAACGCUGGCGGCAUGCUUAACACAUGCAAGUCGCACGGUCGGGGGGAGACCCUUGGCAGUGGCGGACGGGUGAGUAGCGCGUAGGUAUCUAUCCUUGGGUGGGGGACAACCGCGGGAAACUGCGGCUAAUACCGCAUGACGAGGCUGGUCGGGAGACCGGUUUCCAAAGGCCGAAAGGUUGCCUGGGGCGGAGCCUGCGUCCGAUUAGCUGGUUGGUGGGGUAACGGCCCACCAAGGCGAUGAUCGGUAGCUGGUCUGAGAGGAUGAUCAGCCACAUUGGGACUGAGACACGGCCCAAACUCCUACGGGAGGCAGCAGUGGGGAAUAUUGGACAAUGGGCGAAAGCCUGAUCCAGCCAUGCCGCGUGAGUGAUGAAGGCCCUAGGGUUGUAAAGCUCUUUUGUGCGGGAAGAUAAUGACGGUACCGCAAGAAUAAGCCCCGGCUAACUUCGUGCCAGCAGCCGCGGUAAU